AUGCGAAGGGGGCUAGCGUUGUUCGGAAUUACUGGGCGUAAAGCGCACGUAGGCGGAUAUUUAAGUCAGGGGUGAAAUCCCAGAGCUCAACUCUGGAACUGCCUUUGAUACUGGGUAUCUUGAGUAUGGAAGAGGUAAGUGGAAUUCCGAGUGUAGAGGUGAAAUUCGUAGAUAUUCGGAGGAACACCAGUGGCGAAGGCGGCUUACUGGUCCAUUACUGACGCUGAGGUGCGAAAGCGUGGGGAGCAAACAGGAUUAGAUACCCUAGUAGUCC
rnacentral:rRNA from 1 species